rnacentral:lncRNA from 1 species
UGAACUAAAAGAAGCAGAAGAACCGAUUGAACCGGUUGAAGGCAUUCCACAUGCCUGAGUAGUUGUAGCAUAAUCAGCUUGUACUUGGCAAAUAAUUGUUCAAAGCCGCGCUUCACUUGGUCUUUUAAUGCCAGACUCUUUUCAUUACCAAUUCCAUCAUCAUACACUGACUGGAUCGAGAAGUUAGGGUAUCCAUAUUUGCGGCGUGGAUCAAGAAUCACUGCAUAAAACAUAACCUUGUUCAUUUUUUAAAUUGCUCCCCAAUAUUUGACAAAUUUAUCCUUCAUUCUCUUUCCCAUUGCAUUCAAUUAAAAUCAUCACUCUCCGACCAUUCUUUAAGAAGCAAGUCCACCUCACUUAUUUCACUAAAGAUGUUGUUAGACGUGACAUAUAAUGAUCCAAAAAUGUGGACAGUAAGAUUAUAAAAGUGGCUCAAAAUUUUCAAAAGUAAUGUAGCUCUCUCCCAAUCAUAAAU